rnacentral:rRNA from 1 species
GACGAACGCUGGCGGCGUGCCUAACACAUGCAAGUCGAACGAGGUCCAAGGGAGCUUGCUCCCUGACGACCUAGUGGCGAACGGGUGAGUAACACGUGAGAAACCUGCCUCGGAGUGGGGAAUAACUCGGGGAAACUCGAGCUAAUACCGCAUACCUUCACAUGAUCGCAUGGUCGAGUGGAGAAAGAAUUUCGCUCUGAGAGGGUCUCGCGGCCUAUCAGCUUGUUGGUGGGGUAACGGCCUACCAAGGCAACGACGGGUAGCUGGUUUGAGAGAACGAUCAGCCACACUGGGACUGAGACACGGCCCAGACUCCGACGGGAGGCAGCAGUGGGGAAUCUUGCGCAAUGGGCGAAAGCCUGACGCAGCAACGCCGCGUGCGGGAUGACGGCCUUCGUGGUUGUAAACCGCUUUCAGCAGGGACGAAAUUGACGGUACCUGCAGAAGAAGCCCCGGCUAACUACGUGCCAGCCGCCGCGGUAACAC